AGUGAACGCUGGCGGCAGGCCUAACACAUGCAAGUCGAGCGGCAGCGCGUCCGACCACCCUCGGGUGGUCGGAUGGCGGCGAGCGGCGGACGGGUGAGGAAUGCAUCGGAACCCUGCCUCGUUGUGGGGGAUAACGUAGGGAAACUUACGCUAAUACCGCAUACGACCUACGGGUGAAAGUGGGGGACCUUCGGGCCUCACGCGAUGAGAUGAGCCGAUGCCGGAUUAGCUAGUUGGCGGGGUAAAGGCCCACCAAGGCGACGAUCCGUAGCUGGUCUGAGAGGAUGAUCAGCCACACUGGAACUGAGACACGGUCCAGACUCCUACGGGAGGCAGCAGUGGGGAAUAUUGGACAAUGGGGGCAACCCUGAUCCAGCCAUGCCGCGUGUGUGAAG
rnacentral:rRNA from 1 species